UACGGAGGGGACUAGCGUUGUUCGGAAUUAUGCGUGGGCGUAAAGCGCACGUAGGCGGAUUUGUGAAGUCAGGGGUGAAAUCCCGGGGCUCAACCUCGGAACGUGCCUUUGAUGACUGCAAAUCUCGGAGUCCGGAAGAGGUGGAGUGGAAAUUCCUAGUGUAGAGGUGAAAUGCGCAGAGAUCGGGAGGAACACCCGUAGCGAAGGCGGACACGUC
rnacentral:rRNA from 1 species